rnacentral:rRNA from 1 species
UACGUAGGGUGCGAGCGUUGUCCGGAAUUAUUGGGCGUAAAGAGCUCGUAGGCGGUGUGUCACGUCGUUCGUGAAAACCUGCAGCUUAACUGUGGGCGUGCGGUCGAUACGGGCAUCACUGGAGUUCGGCAGGGGAGACUGGAAUUCCUGGUGUAGCGGUGAAAUGCGCAGAUAUCAGGAGGAACACCGGUGGCGAAGGCGGGUCUCUGGGCCACUACUGACGCUGAGAAGCGAAGCAUGGGGAGCGAACAGG